rnacentral:rRNA from 1 species
UACGUAGGGGGCUAGCGUUGUCCGGAAUCAUUGGGCGUAAAGCGCGUGUAGGCGGUCCGGUAAGUCCGCUGUGAAAGUCGGGGGGCUCAACCCUCGAAUGCCGGUGGAUACUGUCGGGCUAGAGUGCGGAAGAGGCGAGUGGAAUUCCUGGUGUAGCGGUGAAAUGCGCAGAUAUCAGGAGGAACACCAAUUGCGAAGGCAGCUCGCUGGGACGUUACUGACGCUGAGACGCGAAAGCGUGGGGAGCAAACAGG